rnacentral:misc_RNA from 1 species
AAUUCUCAACUUCAUCAGUUUUCAUGUGAGACUGUGAAGCUUGGAUAUGUUGGGGGUUGUGCAGGAAAAACACAUUGUAAACCUGCUCUCCUUAAAUUGAUUAGCAAGUUCAAACUGGGCUUCUGUCUAUUGGUGUGAUAAUUAUCUACACCGUGGAUUGAGCUUAGACUUGCUUCUAACUGUCUGAAAGGACAAAUGUACUUUGAUAA